rnacentral:rRNA from 1 species
AUUGAACGCUGGCGGCAGGCCUAACACAUGCAAGUCGAACGAGUGGCGGACGGGUGAGUAAUGUCUGGGAAACUGCCUGAUGGAGGGGGAUAACUACUGGAAACGGUAGCUAAUACCGCAUACCAUCAGAUGUGCCCAGAUGGGAUUAGCUAGUUGGGGGGGUAACGGCGCACCAAGGCGACGAUCCCUAGCUGGUCUGAGAGGAUGACCAGCCACACUGGAACUGAGCAACGGUCCAGAAUCCUACGGGAGGCACAAUGGGGGAAUAUUGGACAAUGGGCGCAAGCCGGAUGCAGCCAUGCCGCGUGGAUGAAGAAGGCCUUCGGGUUGUAAAGUACUUUCAGCGGGGAGGCGUUACCCGCAGAAGAAGCACCGGCUAACUCCGUGCCAGCAGCCGCGGUAAUUC